rnacentral:rRNA from 1 species
AUUGAACGCUGGCGGCAGGCCUAACACAUGCAAGUCGAGCGGAUGAAGGGAGCUUGCUCCUGGAUUCAGCGGCGGACGGGUGAGUAAUGCCUAGGAAUCUGCCUGGUCGUGGGGGAUCACGUCCGGAAACGGGCGCUAAUACCGCAUACGUCCUGAGGGAGAAAGUGGGGGAUCUUCGGACCUCACGCUAUCAGAUGAGCCUAGGUCGGAUUAGCUAGUUGGUGGGGUAAAGGCCUACCAAGGCGACGAUCCGUAACUGGUCUGAGAGGAUGAUCAGUCACACUGGAACUGAGACACGGUCCAGACUCCUACGGGAGGCAGCAGUGGGGAAUAUUGGACAAUGGGCGAAAGCUUGAUCCAACCAUGCCGCGUGUGUGAAGAAGGUCUUCGGAUUGUAAUGCACUUCAGGUUGGGAGGAAGGGCAGUAAGGUAAUACCGUGCUGUUUUGACGUUACCAACAGAAUAAGCACCGGCUAACUUCGUG